UAUUAUUAUUAUUAUUAUUAAGCCUUUAUUUACUCCUUAUCUUUAAGUACAAUAGGUUUUCUUACAACUAUCUAGCUAUUUAUUUUACAAUUUUUACCUUUAUUUUAUGUUAGUUUUGUUAGUAACUAUAUUAUUUAUUA